ACUCCUACGGGAGGCAGCAGUGGGGAAUAUUGCACAAUGGGCGCAAGCCUGAUGCAGCCAUGCCGCGUGUAUGAAGAAGGCCUUCGGGUUGUAAAGUACUUUCAGCGAGGAGGAAGGCGUUGUGGUUAAUAACCGCAGCGAUUGACGUUACUCGCAGAAGAAGCACCGGCUAACUCCGUGCCAGCAGCCGCGGUAAU
rnacentral:rRNA from 1 species